rnacentral:rRNA from 1 species
GACGAACGCUGGCGGCGUGCUUAACACAUGCAAGUCGAACGGAAAGGCCCCUUCGGGGGUACUCGAGUGGCGAACGGGUGAGUAACGCGUGAGUAACCUGCCCUUGACUUCGGGAUAACUUCAGGAAACUGGGGCUAAUACCGGAUAGGAAUCCUUGCUGCAUGGUGGGGGUUGGAAAGCUUCGGCGGUUUUGGAUGGACUCGCGGCUUAUCAGCUUGUUGGUGGGGUAGUGGCUUACCAAGGCUUUGACGGGUAGCCGGCCUGAGAGGGCGACCGGCCACAUUGGGACUGAGAUACGGCCCAGACUCCUACGGGAGGCAGCAGUGGGGAAUAUUGCACAAUGGGCGGAAGCCUGAUGCAGCAACGCCGCGUGCGGGAUGACGGCCUUCGGGUUGUAAACCGCUUUCAGCAGGGGCGAAGCUUGUGGUGACGGUACCUGCAGAAGAAGCACCGGCUAACUACGUG